rnacentral:lncRNA from 1 species
GGGGGGCAACAGUGAGGAGAUCAGUCAUCCACUAGUAUUCUCUUGCUCUUCACAUGAAGAGACUAUAUACAAAAUAACAAGGAAUAAUAAAUUAUCUCCUUUGGGGUCAAAGUUUACACAUCUGAUAGUGAUAGUAAAAGAGCCCCCUGUUGUUUGCCUUAGUGGUAGAUGCUCUAACCCGACAUAUCCAAGGGGAGGUGCCUUGGUGUAUGCUUUUUGCUGAUGAUA